CCGAUGACCAGGGGUGGUCUUCCCGGGGGCCUCCUGUGCCUUCGGCCGCCGGCGGCCGGCGGCCGGCGUGGUUGGAAUCCACGCAUCGGG
rnacentral:tRNA from 1 species